rnacentral:misc_RNA from 1 species
UUAAGUUCAGCGGGUAUUCCUACCUGAUCCGAGGUCAACCUUGUAAAAAUUAAGGAGUUUAACGGCUGGGAAAACCCGCCGCACGCCCAAAGCGAGAAAACAAAUUACUGCGCUCGGGAUGCUAGCGAGCCCGCCACUAAUUUUCAGGGCUUACGGGUGUGCCGUAAAUAGCCCCAACACCAAGCGGAGAGCGCUUGAGG